AGAUACAGAAUCUCACUAUGUUGCCCAGGCUGGUCUUGAACUCCUGGCUUGAACAGUCGUCAUGCUGCCUCAGCCCUCACCCUCCUGGAUAGCUGGGACUGCAGGCACGCACCACCGUGCCAGCCAAGACUUGCUUUUAAGCCUUGUCAGGAGGGACCACAGGAGACUUUAGAGUAAGCUGAAUUGGGCUGCAUUACUGAGACAAUACUCAGAGUGUUCUACUCAGUGCCCGAUGAAUUAGAAGGUUUUCAACUGUGGUUGGUGGCCACAGGGGCUAUUCUCUGGCUGGUGGGAGCUCUAGGAAUGGUUCCCUCUAAUCUUUUUGGGUGAUUCUUUUUCUGGCCUCAUUUCUUUUCCUCACAUGCAUGUGCUGAUCAAUACUUUGCUGAAGACCCAAAGAUGACACUCUGCAGAGCCCAGAGUUCUCUCCGUGUGCAGCUUUCUUCUCUCCAGUAUUCUCUCCUGUGAGUUCUAGGUGCACAAGUGUCCCUGGGACCCCAGCCCCAUCCUUCUACACAGGGAUAUGGCUGUGCUCCACCUGUAUUCCAUGUCCCUGUUCCAUGGCCUGGAAAGUCUCUCCAGGCAGCAAGCUGGGGCAAUCACAGGACUCACCUCACUUGUUUCCUGUGCCACCUGUGCUCCAAUGUCUGAAAAUCGUUGGUUCGAACAUUUGGUCUGUUUUUUUACUUGUUUCAGAACCUUAGUUUUAGUGUGCAUUUCCUGGAAUUCCUGGAAUUGUGGAUGUUAGCUCUGAGCUUGGCUUUAAAAAUCAUCUAAUUGUAUACCUUCCAUUUGCCAGUGAAGAAACUGAGAUAGGAGAAGGGAUGGUGCCUGAGUCUGCGGCAGACCCUGAACUGGGCCACAUCUCCCAACUUGAGAUUGAAGUCGCUUUGAAAGCAGAGCACAUGAAUCCGGGCAACGUGACUUAAGAGCUGGCUGAUGUUCCAGGACAGCACAAAAGAACGGAACUUGUUUUCAUGCUAUGAUUCAUUGGGGGACAGAGCUGGGCCAGGAUCCUGGGACAGAAGGAGGAGGCGGGCCCAGGAAAGUCCACUUGGGGUAACACACAAUUUGUACAUAAAAAAGAAAUGUUCACCUCUUUGUAUGUACCGUAGUAAUUAUUUCACCUUCUUUUAUGAACUUGCACAUUUUCAGAGAGAGUUAAAUUAAGCAGAGUCUGAAAGUGGAGAAUUCUCACAUAGAUAAAAGAAUGGGGACCUGAAAUUGGGUCAUCAGGAAGUGUCUUGUGGCAAAAUACACUUAGUAUCGAACUGAAGGAAGAAAUAUUUC
rnacentral:lncRNA from 1 species